UACGAAGGGGGCUAGCGUUGCUCGGAAUCACUGGGCGUAAAGCGCACGUAGGCGGAUAGUUUAGUCAGAGGUGAAAGCCCAGGGCUCAACCUUGGAAUUGCCUUUGAUACUGGCUAUCUUGAGUACGGAAGAGGUAUGUGGAACUCCGAGUGUAGAGGUGAAAUGCGUAGAUAUCUGGAGGAACACCGGUGGCGAAGGCGGCAUCCUGGACCAUGACUGACGCUGAGGAGCGAAAGCCAGGGGAGCAAACGGG
rnacentral:rRNA from 1 species